GGCGGGAGGGAGCCCCCGCCCCGCGCCGUGACGACUGCGGACCCACCGAGCCCCGCUCCCGCCGCGGCCCGGGGUGCGGGCGGGCGGCCCCUCGGCGGGAGCCGGCCAGGAUGCCGGGGACAUGAGCAAUGGAUGAUUUUGGCUUCCUCUGAAUAACUCCUGAGAGGGCAUGUGUAGUUCCUCUGUGGGAGGACAUUGUCACCUGUGUCAACAGCUUUGAGGCUUUAGCUAAACUUGUGGGAGAGAAAGAUAUGGCAUGUGGAAGACACUGUGCAUGAGGUGAAUGAGGAGUUCUUCCAGCUCUCUUCUCCAGCCCUGGAGCUCCAGAAAGAGGAGGAUGAGCCAGACCCACUGCCCCCAGGUGAAGGCAGCACAUUUGUGCGUUUGCUCUAAGCUGAGGGGUCAGUUCCUCUGUGAACCCGCCCUCCGUCCACCUCAGACGGGCAGCCGUGAAGGUAGCUCGACAGCAGAGGGACUAGGUAGGUGCAGCAGCCUGUCCUCAGCUGCACUGAGGGGCCAGAAGAGCAUGACUCGUUGAGGUUAAAGUAACAGGUGAUCAUCCUUAAAAAUACAUUCUAUACAAAUAUCCCUGGUUUUAAGGAAGGGAAAAUUAGGAUUAGAUGAGGGAUUAUAAAAUAUGCUGAGAUUUAAUUAUUCAAUAAUCAUUCUAAAUUAUUAAACAUGACAAUUGUAUAAUGAUAUAGUUGGCCACUGUUGUGCAUUACUGUGGUGACAGAAACUUGUGAACACUGUGUCUUCAUUUGUUAAUCAUGAGGUCAGUCCCUGGAGGGAGCUCACUGGCAUAUUCCCAUGUUUGGGGUGGAUGUUGGUGCCUAGAGAGUGUCUAAAUGACAAAAGUCAGGGCCAAGACCACAGAGAGGGCUCAGGAUAGAGUGAGCUGAGAGCGUUCAGGGGUCACCUGUCCAUGUUGUGCAUCUGUCAUUCCCAGGUGGCUCCCAGCAUCUCCCCUUGUGAGUGGCAGGAA